ACCAUGGUAACAAGCCUAGCCCCGCCUAGCCUGCUGGAUAAUGAGACACAUGGUCCAGUCACCUGUUGUACCAGCCAAUAGCUGGUAAACAGGCAGACAUGCACUGCUGAUAACACGAAGCAAUAGAAUCACAAACAUCAAGAAUCAUUUCCUUUGCUAUUUAUGCACCUUCAAUUCAUCAACUGUUGUUUAUUUUGUACCAUAUACUUUCUUUUAUGUAUCUCCAUAAAAAAAGUCUAGUGGCAUUUUAG